CCUACGGGUGGCAGCAGUGAGGAAUAUUGGUCAAUGGGAGAGAUCCUGAACCAGCCACGCCGCGUGAGGGAAGACGGCCCUAUGGUCUGUAAACCUCUUUUGUCGGAGAACAAAACCCGGGACGUGUCCCGGACUGCGUGUAUCCGAAGAAACAGCAUGGGCUAACUCGGUGCCAGCAGCCGCGGUAAUACGGAGGAUGCGAGCGUUAUCCGGAUUUAUUGGGUUUAAGGGGUGCGUAGGCGGUCCGUUAAGUCAGAGGUAAAAGUGCGGGGCUCAACCCCGUCGAGCCGUUGAAACUGGCAGACGUGAGUUGGCGAGAAGUACGCGGAAUGCGCGGUGUAGCGGUGAAAUGCAUAGAUAUCGCGCAGAACUCCAGUUGCGAAGGCAGCGUACCGGCGCCAGACUGACGCUGAGGCACGAAAGCGUGGGGAUCGAACAGGAUUAGAUACCCUUGUAGUC
rnacentral:rRNA from 1 species